CCCACCUUUGGGUGGGGCAAGACCACAGCAAAUGAAUUCGCAGUCCCUGCCUCCCCUUUUCUGCCUGGUAAAUUUUCAAGCCAUUUUUUCUCCUUACGUUUUUUUGGCAAACACGAGGCAAUAUUUUUGAUUCUAGAAUCUCCGUCCUCCUAGGGAAGCAACUAGCUCCGGACGCUCUUUCCCAGGAGGCAGCUCUUUGCCGCGAUAGCGACAGAAGAUGGCUGCCGUGGCGAGCUAGCAAGCUCUGGAUUCCGCAAGCUCCUGGCGAACUUCACUUCUAAGAAGACCUCCCAGGAAUUAGCUCCGGAGAAGCUCAGUAUCCAAUGGAGGCACAUCUCCAACCACUUUGAUGUAACUCUCUAUGCCAAGCGAUGAAAGCCCAGAGUCCACCAUGAAUAAUUCGCAAACAACACACAGGUUUAUUUGGAGAUCUUAAAAAUCCUUGGCUCCAGGUUGACAUUUCAUACGUUCCAGAAGAAGAAAUGAUCCUUCAUUUUCUAGUGCAGUGGACUGAUUUAACCUCCCCAUGGCAGAGGCACAAUGCAGGCACUCUCACUGGUACACAGGCACAGACUGCCACCCACGCAACACUGGAACAUCAAACACCAUUAUUUCAAGCAAUAAAAUUCCAAUUCCAAUUUGUGAGCAAUUAGCAAUAACGUUUGAUGACUCACUGGAUAGGAGAUAAGAUUUAUGUAACUUCAUGAAGAGAAAAAUCAUCAUCCAAAGUAAAUAUGUCAUUUGUAAUAUAUUGCUUUUACUUAGGCAUGUUUCUCUGACAAAGAUUUGCAUGGUGUUUGCUUAAGUUAACAAAUAAAACUCCAUCAGAAAUGAGAGUUGUGUCUGAGAGAUCCUGCAUACCGUACACUCUAGAAAUAAGUGGCUAUCCAAGUCACUCGGGCCUUUCAUCCUUUGGGGUUCCUCCUUUCUUUGAAAAUAAAGUGAUUUAAUCCUUUUUUGCCCUUGUUGCUAUGGUUUGGAUAUGAUUCAUCUUCUAACAUGUUCGUGUGCUAGAAACUUAAUCUCCAGCGUAGAGGCAUUCAGAGAUGGUGGGAGUAAGAGAGGCAAGUGGGAAAUCUCUAGGGAUGCUUCCCCUUGAAAGAUUAAGGUGGAGACCCUGGUUGAUUCUCAUAAAGAAAAGGGCUCACCUUUCUCCUUGCUUGGGCUUCUACUUUUGAAAGAAGAUACUUAAGCUUCCUUGGCCAUAUUUAUG